AGCACAGCUUGGUUUGAGCAUGCAGUAAUGUAGCAGAGGGCCUUCAACCAGUCCCUCACUUAAGUCUGUCUCAUCUGAAGCGCCUGGCAUCAGCAAAGAAAGGAUUGCUGUCUGCUCUGCUGCACCCUGGGGACAACAGCUCCUGGCCUUCAUGUGCGAAGCUGUGGAUUCCUGUAGGGAAGGAGAAAUUGCUGCCUAACUGAUCCCUCGUGGACUUCCUACCGAAACCAUCCAGUGCAACAUAUGAUAACAAAUGCUCUGGUUGCAGUUCAACUGCCUGGUUCUUGGAAGCCUGAGGCAGGGAGAGCAAGCACUGUUCUUCCCAUGAGCUGUAGAAAAGAAAAAAAGAAAGGAUUUGAUUGCAAACUGCAUAGCUGAGAAGCCUGUUAAAGAAAACA